GCUCCCGGCUGCGCGCCGCGGAGAGCUGGGCUCGGCCCGCGGGCUGCUAGGUGGCGGCGGCGCGGGGCGGGGAGGCGCGGCCCGGCGGAGGAGGGAAGAAAGAGCGAGCCGGGCCGGGAGAGGCGCCGCGCCCGGUCCCGCGCCCGGUCCCGCACCCGCUCUCAGCGGCCCAAGCAGUUUCUUUCUGGGUGACAAGAAUGUGCCUCGGUUGGUUUUUCUUUUUUUUCUCCAUCUCCUUAAGACGAUUUCCAUAGUAACCUGAUCAAGUGGCUCAAAAUCGCAAACCUGAGGAUUUCCGCGGCCCGCCGGCAAGACCUCGGCCAGGUUUACAGGAAAUCUGUCAUUUUUUAUUAAAAUGGAAAACUGUGAAGAAAGAAAAAGAUAGCAGUUGAAGUCAAAAUUCUCGGAUGACUAUUUUGCUUUUGAGGAGUCAGCAUUUAAAAACGAUAUGCUGAUUUGGAAGGUCCUGGGAGUAAACUGCAAACUUUAUUUUUUCCAUUCAAUCAAUGGAUUUUUUAAUCAUUCCUUGGAGUCGAUGAAGUUCGGAAACGGUGUGUGAUGGGGAACGUGGCGGGCCAGUGUGUUCCUAGAAAUUGCAUCUUGGAUUAGUUUGCUGCUUUUUUGAAGAGAUUCCAUUUUGAAGGGCAAGAACCUAAUGUGAUGGAUUUAUCUUCAGAAAUGAACAGACAUGGGAAGAAUCCAGUGAGUCACAAGCUAGAAGAUCAGAAGAAGGUCUCAAAACGGUGUGGUUCUUUUAAG
rnacentral:lncRNA from 1 species